rnacentral:lncRNA from 1 species
AAACUAAUUCACAGGCUCAGCGAUUUACCAGAUUUGUAUAUGGGUAAGUUCAAUCACAUCAUCUAACUUUGUUUUAAUUUUUUUUUAUUAAAUUACAGAAUUUUUUUAUUUGUGUUUGGUUAAUAGACAGUGAAGUUUUAAAAAUUAGACCAAUCGCCGGUCACUACCCCAACUUCAGUUCUUCUUAGCUCAUUAAUGGCGGAAAUAAGACCAAUUCCCUUAGUGUCACGGUUGAGAAAGACAUCUUGGUUCACAGUUCAACAACUUGGUUCUCCCUAUUGAAACAAGAAAGGGUGAGUUGGGCCCAAGGA